rnacentral:tRNA from 1 species
UGGGUUGUGGCUCAGUGAUAGAGCACUUGCCUAGCAUGCAUGAGGCCCUGGGUUCGAUUCUCAGCACCACAU